GAAGAGGAAGUGUUUAGUGCGCAGCGGGCGCGAGCCGAAAAUGGUGCAGCCGGGGUUGCUGCUCUGGAGUGUGCGCAGGGCUGUCCUCGGGUCCGCCAAGCCUGCGCUCUUGGGUUUGAAGUCAAUAAAGGGAAGCUGCCACAAUUUUUGUACUGCUGCUUCUAAAGAUGUCACUUAUAAGGAACUUAAGAACCUGCUGAAUUCCAAAAAUAUUAUGUUAAUUGAUGUGAGAGAAACAUGGGAAAUUCUUGAGUAUGGAAAAAUCCCUGGGUCCAUCAAUAUACCAUUAGUUGAGGUAGGUCAUGCUCUACAGAUGAACCCAAGAGACUUCGAAGACAAGUACAAUGAAGUAAAGCCAUCUGAAUCUGACAAACUAGUGUUUUCAUGUUUAGCUGGAGUGAGAAGCAAGAAGGCUUUGGAUACGGCAAUAUCUUUGGGCUUUAACAGUGCUCAACACUAUGCUGGAGGAUGGAAGGAAUGGGCAAGCUAUGAAUUUUCAGAGAACAAACAAGGAAAUUGAAUUGUGGAACACAUGUUGGCUCUUUCCUUGUGUACACACAGCCUAAGAUUGUGGAAUGAACAAAAAAGAGAUAAAAAUCUAGACCUGGCAUCACCAGUUCAUGGCUGGGGAAUUUUGUGUAAUAGAUGGAAGGAUGUCAUGGAUAAUCCUAAAUAAUGACUAAACCAAAUCAAAAUGGGCACCAAAAGGAAUGUAAACUUAUUUGGUUAAAAUCACAUUCACUAUUCAAGAAUACAACUACUUAUCUAAAGAUGUAACUCAAAAGUAUAAAUACAAAGGUUUUGGAACACUAAAGAUUGCAUGGAUUAGUUGAUGAAAAACAGCCAAUAGCUGCUAUUACCAUGUGAAUUUUAGCUGAGCUGUCAAAAAUACUGGAAAGGUAAUGUGAAAACUGGGGCAAAUGAAGCAACAUACGUCAAGUGCACUUUGAUGAAGAACAGAAAAUGAUUUCAUACCUCUACUUUGGAUGCCAAAAACACACACGUAGGGGCCAUUAAUACAGGAUCUAUACUUUUCAGAGAAUACCUAAAGUAUUAUAAAACAAAGUUAAGUAUCAUUCAUACAGAAAACAUACUGAAAAAAGUCAAGAUCCAAAUCCACUGCUGCUGAGGCAACUCCAACUCAUAGCGACCCUAUAGGACAGAAUAGAACUGCACCACAGGGUUUCCAAGGCUGUAACUCUUUACAGAAGCAGACUGCCAUAUCUUUCUCCUGCAGAGCAGCUGGUGGGUUUGAACUACCAAUCUUUCAGUUAGGAGCUGAGUGCUUUAACCACUGUGCCACCAGGGCUCCCUAAAGUCAAGAUUACUCUAUUGAAAACACAUGAUUCAUUUAUACAUGGUUCAUCAAUACUGGAUAAGAGUUUCAAACAGACAUAACAUCCCCAGAGUAAAACAGCCCUACCUGGCAUAGAAUCUCUUGAAAUAGACCGUAGCAGUGGCAAUAACUUGUUGUCUUAAUUUAAGAUGUUCACCUAAUGCUUGGAUAACUAAAAGGAAAAUAAUAAAAUUUUAAAUAUUUCUUCUGGAAUCAUUAUAAUAUUAGCAUUAAACAAUAACUUCCAAACAAAGGGAAAACCCUACACAUGCUAUAAAGCUUGCUUGGAUAACAGUGGUCCAGCAAUGGGAUUUGUAAAUUUGUUAAAAAUAUUUAUAACCCGUUGCUGUCAAACCUGUUCCAACUCAUGGCAACCGUAUGUGUUACAAAGCAGAACUGCUCCAUAGGGUUUUCUUGGCUGUAAUCUUUAUGAAGCAGAUCACCAGGCCUUACUUCCAUGGUGCCGCUGAGUAGGUUCGAAUUGUCAACCUUUAACUUGCAGACAAAUGUAAACCAUUUGUGCCACCCAGGGACAUUUCAAAAAUAUACAGGUAUGCAUAAACAAAAAAAUUGAAAUUAGCUCCUAGUAAAAAUUAUUCUUCAUUACAGAGGACAAAUGAUAGGUAUUUCCUUCUAUCUUCUAAAUAUUUUCAAUGCUUUUCAUAUUAUCUUUUGAAUAAAGAUGAAAAUAUUAGACACCCAUCUAAUUAUAUCUAACACUUUACAGUUUAUUUUUAAAAAUUCGUAACGAGUCCUUAAAACAACUGAGAAGCAAAUUUGCAAAAGAGUAAACCGAGGGUUGUAAAAAUCAUGUGACAAAGCUACCAUGUGUCAGAGCCAGGAUCUUAUGACUAUAAAUUUUCCCCAAAGCAAAACUGUAAAUUAGGAAUGACCAAUAUAGAAUGUCAGUCCCAAGAAUCAUUUAUCCUCCUACUCUGCUCUAGUCAACCUUAACUUGGGUUUAAAAAUGCAUUAUAAAGGCUUAGGGAGAUUAAUUAACACUUACAAAUUGUCUUGAGUGCCUCUGACAUUUAAGAUUCAGAAAAAACUUUAUUCAGAUCAAUUAAAAAAAGAUAAAAAU